UACGUAGGGUGCGAGCGUUGUCCGGAAUUAUUGGGCGUAAAGAGCUCGUAGGCGGUGUGUCACGUCGUUCGUGAAAACCUGCAGCUUAACUGUGGGCGUGCGGUCGAUACGGGCAUCACUGGAGUUCGGCAGGGGAGACUGGAAUUCCUGGUGUAGCGGUGAAAUGCGCAGAUAUCAGGAGGAACACCAAUGGCGAAGGCAGCUCGCUGGGACGGUACUGACGCUGAGACGCGAAAGCGUGGGGAGCAAACAGG
rnacentral:rRNA from 1 species